AAAUAACCUAGUGAAGAUACUUGUUUGUAGUGCCAUUGAUCAUCAUGGGAAUGAUUUUAAUAACUUUGGUCAUAAUGUUAUUGAAAUGCAUUCAAUGUCUAAUGUCAACAAAACAAAAGAAAACUAAUUAAAUUUCAAGAAAAAAAUAACAAUAAUCAUGCAAACAUUACUAUAUCCAUAAAAAGCUGCCUCAUAAGUAUGGACAGUUUUGUUUUUUACAAAAAUAAAAAUAAAAA
rnacentral:misc_RNA from 1 species